CCUACGGGAGGCAGCAGUGAGGAAUAUUGGACAAUGGGCGCAAGCCUGAUCCAGCCAUGCCGCGUGCAGGAAGACGGUCCUAUGGAUUGUAAACUGCUUUUGUACAGGAAGAAACACUCCCUCGUGAGGGAGCUUGACGGUACUGUAAGAAUAAGGAUCGGCUAACUCCGUGCCAGCAGUCGCGGUAAUACGGAGGAUCCAAGCGUUAUCCGGAAUCAUUGGGUUUAAAGGGUCCGUAGGCGGUUUAAUAAGUCAGUGGUGAAAUCUGGUCGCUCAACGAUCAAACGGCCAUUGAUACUGUUAGACUUGAAUUAUUAGGAAGUAACUAGAAUAUGUAGUGUAGCGGUGAAAUGCUUAGAUAUUACAUGGAAUACCAAUUGCGAAGGCAGGUUACUACUAAUGGAUUGACGCUGAUGGACGAAAGCGUGGGGAGCGAACAGGAUUAGAUACCCUGGUAGUCCACGCCGUAAACGAUGGAUACUAGCUGUUCGGAGCAAUCUGAGUGGCUAAGCGAAAGUGAUAAGUAUCCCACCUGGGGAGUACGUUCGCAAGAAUGAAACUUAAUGAAUUGACGG
rnacentral:rRNA from 1 species